rnacentral:antisense_RNA from 1 species
AAAGUUGUCGUCUUCCGCCGCCAGCAGGGACUGGAUGAAUUCCGGAGGGAUGUCCGCGAAACGGAUCGGUGCCCGCCUCAUCUCGCCGAACUCGGCGAUCAGCUUCCCAUCGCUGCUAUACACGCGCAGCGGUAUCUGCAGCUGGAUGCUGCGUAGGGAAUCGACAGACGGAAGACUCGGGCUAAGGUAGAGAUAAGCGCCGCUGAAACUGAGCAACAGCCCACAAAAAACAGCAACGCAAGACCACCAGAAAAACUUCAGCAGGCGUAUCAAGAUUCUUGGAUUUCCAGGCAA